rnacentral:rRNA from 1 species
UACGAAGGGGGCUAGCGUUGCUCGGAAUUACUGGGCGUAAAGCGCACGUAGGCGGUCUUUUAAGUCGGUGGUGAAAUCCUGGAGCUCAACUCCAGAACUGCCUUCGAUACUGGAAGACUUGAGUCCGGGAGAGGUGAGUGGAACUGCGAGUGUAGAGGUGAAAUUCGUAGAUAUUCGCAAGAACACCAGUGGCGAAGGCGGCUCACUGGCCCGGUACUGACGCUGAGGUGCGAAAGCCAGGGGAGCGAACGGG